GCGCCAUUAGCUCAGCUGGAUAGAGUAGCAUACUACGAAUAUGAAGGUCGGGGGUUCGAAUCCCUUAUGGCGCACCA
rnacentral:tRNA from 1 species